AUCAGUAUUAUGUAAAAUGGGAAAUAUAAGAUUUUCUUCAUACUGCUCCUUUUUGAGCAUGGCUGUGUAAAUGUUUGUUCACCUGAUGAUUACUGAAUGUCUGCAGAUGAAAUGCACAAACAUGAACAA